rnacentral:rRNA from 1 species
CCUACGGGGAGCUGCAGUGAGGAAUAUUGGUCAAUGGGCGAGAGCCUGAACCAGCCAAGUCGCGUGAAGGAUGACGGCCCUACGGGUUGUAAACUUCUUUUGUAAGGGAGCAAUUGGGUCCACGCGUGGGCUUAGCGAGAGUACCUGAAGAAAAAGCAUCGGCUAACUCCGUGCCAGCAGCCGCGGUAAUACGGAGGAUGCGAGCGUUAUCCGGAUUUACUGGGUGUAAAGGGGGCGCAGACGGCAAUGCAAGCCAGGAGUGAAAGCCCGGGGCCCAACCCCGGGACUGCUUUUGGAACUGCAUGGCUGGAGUACAGGAGGGGCAGGCGGAAUUCCUAGUGUAGCGGUGAAAUGCGUAGAUAUUAGGAGGAACACCGGUGGCGAAGGCGGCCUGCUGGACUGUGACUGACGUUGAGGCCCGAAGGCGUGGGGAGCAAACAGGAUUAGAUACCCCAGUAGUC